rnacentral:pre_miRNA from 1 species
AGUGGAAUUGCUGGGUCAUACGGUAACUUUAUGUUUAACUUUUUGAGAAACUGCCAGGCUGUUUUCCACAGUUGCUACACCAUUUUACAUUCCCACCAGCAAU